ensembl:snoRNA
GGCCCAGUGAUGACACCAUCCUUGCUCCCCCGUGCCCCCUGCGGGGCUGUGGGCGACACCAUGGCUGCCCCCAGGCUGGGCCAGUGGGGCCAAUGCCUGGGGGACUGAGGGCA